GAGGCAGACAGCAGACACAGAUCAUUAUUAUCUGCUUUAUUACAGUCAUAAUCAAUUAGAAAGCACUGUUUGAACAGAAAAACCUUCAAGCCCAUGUUUCUGUUUUUAAAAAUAAUUUUUAUUGCUGUUUAUUCAAACUUUAAAUGUUGAGCUUUUAUCAACUGUAACUAACAACUGUAAAGUCUUUCAAACAUGUAGUUAAUCUACAUAAUGGAUUUAACUUGAUGAUAAAGUUCCUGAAAUAAAUGAAUAAUAUUUGAAUUUAUUGAGUAUGUUUGUGUUCAGGUUGUUGAUGAAGAACUGGAGGAGGAAGAGGAGGAAGGUUAUUACAGUUCACUAAAUCUAACAAAAUAAUAAAAACUGAAUUUGAAAAAACCUUUUGAACUGAAAUAACUGUUUAUACAAUCAACUUAAACAUACUGAAACUAUGGAUAUAAUAUCCUUGAUUUCUGUGUUUAUGAUUUUAUUUAUUGAUGUGAAAUUUAUUUAUUUUUCCACUCAAACAGUUUAGUCAGCUGUCGGUAAAUUAUGGCUCCAUUUAUUCAUGUAUUCUCCAACAGUUCAAUAACUGAACUUACUUUUUGAAAUGGUUUCUUCUUUAGAUUAUUCAUUACCCAGUCAAUGUUUACAUAACCACAAAACUAACUGAAUUAGACACAAAGUAAAACUAAACUAUAAAAACUAAAACUAUUAUAACCCAGCUUCUGUGAACGCAUCAUGGGACAAACCAUAAAGUUUGUUUACAAGAAAGAAAUAUCUGAAAUUGCAAAAACAAAAAAAACCUUUGAAUAUGAAAAGUAGUUUAUUUUUCUGUUUCAAAGUUCUUUCUUUUAGUUUUAAAAUAAUUUUUCAGUUUCAAAUCUUCAUUUUCAGUUUAGAUGGAGGAAGUGUGUAAACGUGGAUGAUGAUGAGGAGAAGGAGAUGAAGGCUGGAGGAGCCGUCUGCCGCCAACAGAGACCCUGACUGCUACUGCUGGAUUUUAGCACCACAAUCAGCUGCUGGUCUUCCAGAGUGGAAGUGGCCUAAUUAAAGUAUGCUGUUUCCUGUGGGCUUCAUACUGAUCCAGUUGAUGGCACAGAAGUGAGAGCCAGAGGAGGAAACGUUGUGGCUCCGGAUCCACAACGUCCUGCAGGACGCAGAUAUCACAGCGGGACACGAUCUGCAGAGGAAACAACUCGGGGUCAGACAGGAGGAGAAACUUAAAGAAAAUACUAAUAAACUAUUGAAACAGGAGAAGAAAUGUUUGUAAAUGAAAAAUGUCCCAACUUUUAAUUGA